GACGAACGCUGGCGGCGUGCUUAACACAUGCAAGUCGAACGAUGAAGCGGUGCUUGCACCGUGGAUUAGUGGCGAACGGGUGAGUAAUACGUGAGUGACCUACCUUUGACUCUGGGAUAAGCCUGGGAAACUGGGUCUAAUACCGGAUACGACCAAUCUCUGCAUGGGGUGUUGGUGGAAAGCGUUAUGGAGUGGUUUUAGGUGGGCUCACGGCCUAUCAGCUUGUUGGUGAGGUAAUGGCUUACCAAGGCGACGACGGGUAGCCGGCCUGAGAGGGUGACCGGCCACACUGGGACUGAGACACGGCCCAGACUCCUACGGGAGGCAGCAGUGGGGAAUAUUGCACAAUGGGCGCAAGCCUGAUGCAGCGACGCCGCGUGAGGGAUGACGGCCUUCGGGUUGUAAACCUCUGUUAGCAUCGAAGAAGCGAAAGUGACGGUAGGUGCAGAGAAAGCGCCGGCUAACUACGUG
rnacentral:rRNA from 1 species